ACUUGAAGAUUUGGAUUCCAAGAGGCCUCUGUCUGUCCUGCCUCAGCCAGAGCCAGACAGCCAGCUCAAGGAGAUGGGCAAUUUACAGAGAAAGCAGCAUUGUGUUGAUGUUCCUUUCAGCUGGUCCUAUAGUACCCCUCCUCAGGAAUGUCUCCCCAGUGCAAGGACAAAGACUGAAGAGACUGCUAUAUUGAUGGACUCUCAAGCCAACUAUGAAGUUGAAACAAAGAAAGUGAUCACCUGAAGACACCUCCUCUGCUAAGAAACACCCCCAAAUUGUGCAGCUUCUGCCACUAGAACUCUCAGAACAAGAGACAAUCUUUUCAAGAAACAGAAAAACUCAAUAAUGACAUCUAGAUUUUCAUGAGCCAAGAACUUUCCUUUCCUCAUGUGUAUUCCUCUGUUUGUACUUAAAUUCAUGUGACAUUCAUUUUUUUCCUAGUAUGGAUAUGCUUAUUAAUGCACUUGUUUCAAAAUCCCAAAUUGCACAAAUGUGUUAAUAUUUUAAGAAACAAAAUGAAUCCUACAAGGAGAAUGAUGUUUAGCCACACAUAGGGUUGGAUCUUAAGAGUGACCUACAGAAUAA
rnacentral:lncRNA from 1 species